UCUAAUUUCCAUUUUGAACUCCUUUAAGUAAUGUGACUAGCCAUGAGCAGUUGAUUUUUUUUCUAUAGACUUGUAUGCUAGUUAGCGAUUAAUUACUAGAAAUGUCAAAGUAAUAAAUUUGUGGCAUAUUGUGGGCUUUGUUCUAUAUGCAAAUCAGGAAGAAAUAGUCUCUCCUCCCUAGUAGGUCUGUCCUUUUCAUGGGUGGCAUUAUCUUCAAGGUCUAGUGACUCUUUGAAGUUUGGCACUACCAUCAGUGGCAGGUCUAGUGUCAAUUGCAAAUGGUUGCACCGGAGAUGAUCAAGCAUGCAAAUCAAUGGUGCCACAUAAUGGUAGCAGGUUUUCAUACUUUCCUAAAAAAUUGAAAUUAUGCUGCACUCAUUCCAUCGCUUAAUGACCUGGUCCACCUUUACCACCUGGACCCUGAGGUCUGUGUUCUCAUUCUAUAUACUUUUGUCUUGUAAACUUAGGGCAUGAUUUCAUGAUAACUACUGCUUGAUUUUAUCACGAAAACUGUUUAUAUCCCU